GUUAGGUGGCAAGCGUUGUCCGGAAUUAUUGGGCGUAAAGCGCGCGCAGGGCGGUCCUUUAAGUCUGAUGUGAAAGCCCACGGCUCAACCGUGGAGGGUCAUUGGAAACUGGGGGACUUGAGUACAGAAGAGGAAAGCGGAAUUCCAAGUGUAGCGGUGAAAUGCGUAGAGAUUUGGAGGAACACCAGUGGCGAAGGCGGCUUUCUGGUCUGUAACUGACGCUGAGGCGCGAAAGCGUGGGGAGCAAACAGGAUUAGAUACCCUGGUAGUCCACGCCGUAAACGAUGAGUGCUAAGUGUUAGGGGGUUUCCGCCCCUUAGUGCUGCAGCUAACGCAUUAAGCACUCCGCCUGGGGAGUACGGCCGCAAGGCUG
rnacentral:rRNA from 1 species